UACGUAGGGUGCGAGCGUUGUCCGGAAUUAUUGGGCGUAAAGAGCGUGUAGGCGGUUCGGUAAGUCUGCCGUGAAAACCUGGGGCUCAACCCCGGGCGUGCGGUGGAUACUGCCGGGCUAGAGGGUGGUAGAGGCGAGUGGAAUUCCCGGUGUAGCGGUGAAAUGCGCAGAUAUCGGGAGGAACACCCGUGGCGAAGGCGGCUCUCUGGGACGGUACUGACGCUGAGACGCGAAAGCGUGGGGAGCGAACAGG
rnacentral:rRNA from 1 species